GAUGAACGCUGGCGGCGUGCCUAAUACAUGCAAGUCGAGCGAACAGAUAAGGAGCUUGCUCCUUUGACGUUAGCGGCGGACGGGUGAGUAACACGUGGAUAACCUACCUAUAAGACUGGGAUAACUUCGGGAAACCGGAGCUAAUACCGGAUAACAUUUGGAACCGCAUGGUUCUAAAGUGAGAGAUGGUUUUGCUGUCACUUAUAGAUGGACCCGGGCCGUAUUAGCUAGUUGGUAAGGUAACGGCUUACCAAGGCGACGAUACGUAGCCGACCUGAGAGGGUGAUCGGCCACACUGGAACUGAGACACGGUCCAGACUCCUACGGGAGGCAGCAGUAGGGAAUCUUCCGCAAUGGGCGAAAGCCUGACGGAGCAACGCCGCGUGAGUGAUGAAGGGGUUCGGCUCGUAAAACUCUGUUAUUAGGGAAGAACAAAUGUGUAAGUAACUGUGCACGUCCUGACGGUACCUAAUCAGAAAGCCACGGCUAACUACGUG
rnacentral:rRNA from 1 species